ACUUGCCUUCCAUGGCAGUACGACGGGGAUGCGCGAGCAUCUUAAAAGGAAGCACGUCGUGGCUGAUUCAAUUUCUGACAGAGGGACAGUCGUCUAGCUCCCCAUGGCUUUUCUCACAGCUCCAUAUAAGACCUGUUACCCUGUGAACCAACACCUACAGCUAGAUCCUCAGGCGGAGGAAGUCUUCUUCAUGUUGCACAUACCAGACUGAAAUUAAAAGGGGAGAGUGUAUGCAGAGAGAUCUUCACCUCUAUAACAAAUAAAGUUUGUCAUCAUCAAAAUCCA